rnacentral:tRNA from 1 species
AGCAACUUGACGCAGUGGAAGCGUGCAGGGCUCAUAUUGUUGUUACCCUGAAGUCCCUAGAUCGAAACUAGGAGUUGCUA